UACGAAGGGGGCUAGCGUUGCUCGGAAUGACUGGGCGUAAAGGGCGCGUAGGCGGAUGGCACAGUCAGAUGUGAAAUUCCCGGGCUUAACCUGGGGGCUGCAUUUGAUACGUGUGAUCUAGAGUGAGGAAGAGGGUCGUGGAAUUCCCAGUGUAGAGGUGAAAUUCGUAGAUAUGUGGAGGAAUACCGAUGGCGAAGGCAGCCCCCUGGGCCAAUACUGACGCUCAUGCACGAAAGCGUGGGGAGCAAACAGG
rnacentral:rRNA from 1 species